rnacentral:rRNA from 1 species
CACGUAGGCGGCGCCGUAAGUUGGACGUGAAAGCUCUCGGCUCAACUGAGAGAGGUCGUUCAAUACUGCGGUGAUUGAGGUUGGAAGAGGAGAGUGGAAUUCCCGGUGUAGUGGUGGAAUGCGUAGAUAUCGGGAGGAACACCAGUGGCGAAGGCGGCUCUCUGGUCCACACCUGACGCUGAGGUGCGAAAGCGUGGGUAGCGAACG